GACGAACGCUGGCGGUGUGCUUAACACAUGCAAGUCGAACGGAAAGGCCCUGCUUUUGUGGGGUGCUCGAGUGGCGAACGGGUGAGUAACACGUGAGUAACCUGCCCUUGACUUUGGGAUAACUUCAGGAAACUGGGGCUAAUACCGGAUAGGAGCUCCUGCUGCAUGGUGGGGGUUGGAAAGUUUCGGCGGUUGGGGAUGGACUCGCGGCUUAUCAGCUUGUUGGUGGGGUAGUGGCUUACCAAGGCUUUGACGGGUAGCCGGCCUGAGAGGGUGACCGGCCACAUUGGGACUGAGAUACGGCCCAGACUCCUACGGGAGGCAGCAGUGGGGAAUAUUGCACAAUGGGCGGAAGCCUGAUGCAGCAACGCCGCGUGCGGGAUGACGGCCUUCGGGUUGUAAACCGCUUUCGCCUGUGACGAAGCGUGAGUGACGGUAAUGGGUAAAGAAGCACCGGCUAACUACGU
rnacentral:rRNA from 1 species